UAAAAGACUAUGAUGGGAAGAGUAGAUAUGGGACGUAGUCAUAGCGAGUCGGUGGCGGUGGAAGACCGAUACGAAGCCUAUAUUGAAGAACAUCCCGGAGUUUCUUACCGAAAUCGUAAGAGAGUAGGCUAAGACGUGGCUGGAACGUUAAAUCCAGGGGGUAUGUUAGUACCUUCAAAGAGGCCAUUUUGGCAAUUUGGGUGGCACCGCGGAAGUUAAGCCUUUCGUCCCAUUU
rnacentral:ncRNA from 1 species